AGUUCUUCAGUGUUCUCUCUUCCCAUGAUGUCGCGCUGUGAUCCUCAUGCAGCAGAUCAACCAUCUCCUCCAGAACCUGAGCUGUGAAACCAAGUUUAACCUCCGCCUGAAGGAAGAGGAAGAAACAACACAGACAGAUCAUCAGGAAAGGCCACAGUCUCCUCCAGGGCAGCAUCCUCUGUGGUGUUGGUGGAGUUAUUAGUCUGUAUCACACACACACAUCAUGUGUUACAGGGGAAAGAAGAUUAAAUUAGUGUUUCAAAUGUUUAUUGUCAAACUAAUGAUAAUAAUAACAAUGAUAAUAGUCAUCAAUUCAAGACAACCUGAACAUUAGUGAGUC